UACGAGGGGGGGCAAGCGUUGUUCGGAAUUAUUGGGCGUAAAGGGCGCGUAGGCGGUGCGGUAAGUCUGAUGUGAAAUCUCCGGGCUCAACUCGGAGUCUGCAGGCGAAACUGUCGGGCUUGAGUAUGGGAGAGGUGAGUGGAAUUUCCGGUGUAGCGGUGAAAUGCGUAGAUAUCGGAAAGAACACCAACGCGAAAGCACUCUGCUGGGCCGACACUGACACUGAGAGACGAAAGCUAGGGGGAGCGAAUGGG
rnacentral:rRNA from 1 species